GAUGAACGCUGGCGGCGUGCCUAAUACAUGCAAGUCGAGCGAACAGACGAAGAGCUUGCUCCUCUGACUUUAGCGGCGGACGGGUGUGUAACACGUGGAUAACCCACCUUUAAGACUGGGAUAACUUCCGGAAACCGGAGCUAAUACCGGCUAAUAUUUUCAACCGCAUGGUUCAAUAGCUACAGAUGGCUUUCCUUCGACUUAUAGAUGGUUCCGGACCGCAUUAGCUAGUUGGUAAGGUAACGGCUUACCAAGGCAACGAUGCGUAGCCGACCUGAGAGGGUGACCGGCCACACUGGAACUGAGACACGGUCCAGACUCCUACGGGAGGCAGCAGUGGGGAAUAUUGCGCAAUGGGCGAAAGCCUGACGGAGCAACGCCGCGUGAGUGAUGAAGGUCUUCGGAUCGUAAAGCUCUGUUAGUAGGGAAGAACAAAUGUGUAAGUAAACAUGCACGUAUUGACGUUACCUAAACAGAAAGCCACGGCUAACUACGUG
rnacentral:rRNA from 1 species